rnacentral:rRNA from 1 species
CGGGGUGAGUAACGCGUGGGUAACCUGCCUUAUACAGGGGGAUAACAGUCAGAAAUGACUGCUAAUACCGCAUAAGCGCACAGAGCUGCAUGGCUCGGUGUGAAAAACUCCGGUGGUAUAAGAUGGACCCGCGUUGGAUUAGCUAGUUGGUGAGGUAACGGCCCACCAAGGCGACGAUCCAUAGCCGGCCUGAGAGGGUGAACGGCCACAUUGGGACUGAGACACGGCCCAG